rnacentral:rRNA from 1 species
CCUACGGGGGGCAGCAGUGGGGAAUAUUGGGCAAUGGGCGCAAGCCUGACCCAGCAACGCCGCGUGAAGGAAGAAGGCUUUCGGGUUGUAAACUUCUUUUAUCAGGGACGAAGCAAGUGACGGUACCUGAUGAAUAAGCCACGGCUAACUACGUGCCAGCAGCCGCGGUAAUACGUAGGUAGCAAGCGUUAUCCGGAUUUACUGGGUGUAAAGGGCGUGUAGGCGGGAAAGCAAGUCAGAUGUGAAAACCAGGGGCUCAACCUGUGGACUGCAUUUGAAACUGUUUUUCUUGAGUACUGGAGGGGCAGACGGAAUUCCUAGUGUAGCGGUGAAAUGCGUAGAUAUUAGGAGGAACACCAGUGGCGAAGGCGGUCUGCUGGACAGCAACUGACGCUGAGGCGCGAAAGCGUGGGGAGCAAACAGGAUUAGAUACCCGGGUAGUC